CGAAGACAGCCGUCAUCGAGCGGCCCGUUCGAAAGACGAUUAUGGAUCGAAUAUCGUUCCAUAGACCUACCGCGAAACGCAAUUUUCGGAGUUUUUGACAGCACGAAAUUCGUAAAGAACUGUCAAAACACACGUUACCUCAAGAGCUAACGUUGUUCUUUCGUUUAUCACAGUGCUGCCAGAUAACUCACCUUUCAGCUUUUUAUCCCGUUUUUGUGGCAGUGAAUCCGCGCAUUGUUUUGCAAAUAUUUUGAAUGUCCUCGGUUUUUGAGCACUGCAGCGGGAUGAAUAAAUAGAUAUUUGGGGAUUAUGCUCGAUCAACUCGCAGUUUCAAAGCAGUGCUCCUGUUUUUUCAAUUUCAUGACCUGGCAAUUUUAUUCUGUCAUAAUAGGGUAUCAUGCCCUUCGUGUAUCUUAUUAUUAUAGUUGAUUGUGUCGUGCUGCGUGAAAUUGUACUGUUUGUUUGUGAACUAUUACAAAGAUGUUUCUGUCGCAAGAGAACCUGGCUGAAGAAAUCCGGCAACAAGCCGCUUCUAUAGAUGCCUAAUGCGAUAAAAAUUCCGCUAAGUGAAAGUUCUGGACGCGGAGUUUGUAAAUACCACGCUGCAUAUUUCCACAUCCACGACGAAAUAGCUGUAGGACCCUGUUCAAUAAGGUAUACGUUUUAGAUUAUUUCGUAAGUCAUUAAUCAAAUAGUCAAAACAUUGAACAUUCACAAUAAAAGGUCUAGAGCAUUGCAAGAUGUAUGUUUCAAGUAUUCAAAGUUCUACCUUCAUGGGAAGCUAUGUAGUGUCUGUCAGUAUCUAAUUAAAAUAAUAUACCAUUUGAUAGAAUGUAUUUUUGUAUUAUACAGAAGAUAUUAAUUUAAUAAUAUAUGUAUAUAAAUGUUAUGGGACAAUCUUACCCAAAUUGACAAAGCCCCACAAUAAGCUCAAGAAGGCUUAUGUUGUGAUAUAUAAUAAAUACACACAUGGAAAACACACACCAAAUGACUCAGGAACAGAUAUCUGUGCUCAUCACAUAAAUAAAUACAUAAUGCCGAGAUUCAAACUGAGUUGUUCGCAAAGUAGUGUACUUCUACGUUAUUUUUCCAUUUAAACUUUUAUGGCAGGCAGAUUAUCAACAUGAAGUGGGCCGGGACCAAAUGGAUGCCUGUUUCUCAGCAAGCGGUGUCCAACUGCUAAAUUACCCCGGUCUUAUCAGUAUGGGCUAUCAUUAAAGCCGGGGGUUUUCGAUGCACACAUGUGACCCUUCAUGGGCCAUAGGAAUAUGAAGACCGCUUCUUGUAUAUCUUUUCCAUCACGGAACAAUGGUGUUCCGGACCUUUGGUAGGCGUGCGCGGAGCCGUAGGCAACACAUACGGGAUCAUAUCAAUUACGUGGACAAGUCGUAUGGUGGGACAACCUACGACACCUUUAUAUGGAGCAACAGCGUUAGUCGAGAUUACUUCGAGCAGCUGGCAUGUGUGGCACCAGCGAAAUAGUGUACAUUAGAUAUGGGAACAAGUCAACUACAUCAUUAACAUGGACGCGUCGUACGGCAGGGCAACCCACGACGCCUUCAUAUGUAGCAUUAGCAUUAGUCAAGACUACUUCGAGCAGCGGGCAUGUGGUACCAGCGAAAUAGCGCACAUUAGGUAGAAGACUCCGGGUAUCCACUGCGGGAACACGGGACACCUUAUGAUUUCUGCAACCGGCGCCGCAGAAGAAUCCCCGAGGCUAUAACGCCAUACAAAAUAAGGCGCGCUCCACUAUAGAGCUAACAUUUGGGAUAUUAAAAGUUACACCACCACCAUGGCCACUACUGUCUGAUCUGUGAUCCGUGCUGUGCCUACACGCGAAGACCGUACUCCCGACGACGGCGAUGAAAAUAACACUGCCGGCUUUUCAAGGAGCUACAUUACCAGCUGAUAAUGCAACUAUUACCCAAUGCCCCGUACCUACGUAGUAUAGAAGAAGACUAAGACUUAUCUACUAUAUAAGCAGAGGCUAGCAAACUAGUCUUAUUUCCUAUGAGGCCAUGCUGUGGUAAUUAUUAAAUUCACCUUAGAAAGCUAAUGUAAGGCAUAAGGAUAAUAAGGCACAUAUAUUUGAAUCGCCUCCUUUACAGGAAUAAAUUGUGUAAUUUAUUGUACCUGCUAGUUAAACUAUUACACGAUUAGCAGCACUAAGAGUUGUAUUGGCCAAGUUGACUACGGAGUAAUAUACCUAGCAGGUAGAAUAAAUUACAUUUGAUCACUGAUGACCAGACACAGAUUGUGCCGAUUGUGUUAUUAACUAUGAUUGCAUAACUUUGUCUAGUAUAGUUCUGAAUAUUUGACCAUCGAUAUAAAUGAUGUAGAUAUACAAAGAUAGAUAGAUAGAAUACUUUAAAAUGUAAAGAUGUAUAAUGCGUGUGUUUAUUUUUCAAAUUUCCAUGGCAGAAUUUUGUUACAAAACAAUCAGUGUAGUAGUAUAGUAUAUAACGAUAAGCAAACAUGUUACUCGUAAAGGAACACACGAACGAAAUAUAUAAGACUUGUAAUGUAAAAAUCUAAAUGUUAUAUUAUAUCUGAGUUGUGUAAACUUCGAAAACUUUUGGCUGUGGCGGCGAACAAUUAUUUCAUGACACGGCAGGCGUGCCUUACGCCAUAGAAUAUGAUCGCACGCCUGUCGUGUCAUGCGCCACACGUUGAAAUCAUUGAUGACACGCCUGUCGUGCCAACCGCACCGAAACGGUUAUAAAUGUACCUAUGAUAAAUAAUUUUAUAAGGUUAGGUAGGCUAUUUUAUUUCUUACUCUUGUAUGUGCAAAUAAACAUAGUCAAUGAUUAGUCAAUAAUAUGUAAAUGACAUUAGAGUGAGACCAAGAUAAGUAUGCAGCGAUUUUUAUAGCACAAACGUGCAAGUGUAUUUUAAAUUCCAAAUUUCUAUGAAAUUAUGUAUUUAAAUAACAUUUGCGCGUCUGUGCUAUAAAAAUCGCUUAAUAUCCUGGUCUGACUAACUCUUUUCGAAUGUAGACAAUAAGGGAGGAGGAGGAAGCUUCUGCCCAUUUGCCGCCUGUUUGUGCAUGUGCUGAAUGUGUUAGUCCCGAAUUUUAUUAUAUUAAUAUUUAAAAUAUAAUUAUACAAUUUUAACCCUUUACCAGGCUGACAUUUCGAAAAUGACAAUUGAAUGUUUUACUCAUCAAAAAUAGAACAGAUGUUUGAAGUGCCAUACGUGGGAAAUAUAACCCUUAACCCUUAGCCUGGUAAAAUUGUUAAAUUUUUUACACAAAUUAAUAAAUAAA